rfam:Ricinus communis cultivar Hale ctg_1100012360635, whole genome shotgun sequence.
GGCCAGUGAUAUGAGAAAAUAUUUGCUACACUUAAUGGAUUUUAAAGAAAUCCAUUUGAUGAAUCCCAUCCACCAAUAUCUCUGAGGCC